GCGGACUACAUAAAACUUAACAGAACAGAUUAUACUAAAGUAACUUAGGAUUUAGUUCAAAUGUGCAUGAUGCAUUGACAUUGAACGCGAUGAUUAUAAAGAAGAUCCGUGAGGCAAUGAAAACGACGUUGUAGAUGAAGAAGCAUCUUGCAUCGAAGACGUAGAAUCUGACGAUGAAUAUUCACGAAUCGUAGCCGUUUCCGUUCCAACAUCGUCGAUGUUUAUUGCAUCCGUCACCAUUUUGGAAUUUUGCAAUGAUGCAGAGUUUGACAGAAGAGAGGACAACAGAUUCACUAAACGAUUGAUGAAUGCAUAUAAGAAUACAUCUUCACACCUUAUGGAGUCAGUUCAACCGAAUUGUAAUUUCAUUUUUCUAACAUUAUAAAUAAGUAUACAGUAUUUACAACUGAUAGAAGAAGACUGUAUUGAAAUUUAAAAGUAUACUUAUUGCUCAUAAAAUAGCCUCAUCAGAAUGAUCCUCAAACGAUCGUUAGCGUAGAUCCACUGCCAGAUUAUAAAUGGCAAAAGAAUGAUCAGAAGCAGCGUGUCCAGCACGUGUAACACAAUCAGCGAUAUGGAUUGCACCACUAUCGAUGUUCUGCGUGAUUCCUGUCUGGAAUAUCAAGCUUUCCCUUAUAUGCUCUUUGAUACUGCUACUGCCCCUGUGGUUCUUAAUGGUUAGUGGUUGGAUCUUGCCGUAAUGCAUGAUGAUGAAGUAAAUGAAACGAAGGUAUGUUUAUUGGACAACGGUGUUUCUAUCGAUGGAAAACGAUUAACACCGUGGGAUUGUGAUUAAUCCGUUUCAUUCUAUAAGAAUUUGUCAAAUUCAGUACAUUGGACAGUAAUGAACGCGAUCGAGCGAAUAAAAAGAUGGAGGAUCAUUAGCUUUUCAUCUGUUUUAUUUUGUAUGGAUGUACAAGGUGGACAGAAAAUGUAGAUAAUCGUUUAUAAGAGGAUGUAUAAAGCACAGUUUUAAUAGUGAGCUGUAAGAUUCAAAGCUCCAGCAGUAAAAGAAUCAACAUUUCAAUGUUAAGAGCUUCAAAACCAAUACUUCAAUGUUAAAAGCCUUAAAAACCAACAUUUCAAUACUGAAAGCUUCAAGAAUCAAUACUUCAAUAUCAAAAAUUUCAAGAACCAGCUCUGCAAUAUAAAAAGCUUCCAAAACCAAUGCUUCAAUAUUAAAAAUUUUAGACAAUAAAAGUUUGGAAAAGCAAACUCUCAAUAUAAAAAAUUUCAAGUUCUACAAAUUAAAACUUGAAAACUGAAAUCUUCAAGAACUUCAAUCUCUCAUGCAAACUGUAAAUUAUCCUGUUAGUGUACACAUCUCUUCUUACCAGGAGUACAGCCCACAUGGUUGCAGAAUGGUUUUCAGAGAUCAGCUUCAAGAACAGUUUCCGUCCCCGGCAAGACUUAGAUCACGUUUGAAGGAAGAGAUUGACCAAGCAUCGGUUAUAUACGCACCACGUUUACGAUCUUCGAGGAUGGCGAUUAUAAACCGCUACCGCACACAUGAUAUGCAGAUUUCCCGUUGAGGGAGAGAGAGGGAAUAGUCUUGUUCCCCGUAAGAAUCUUCUUUACGAAACUUCGUCUCUGGAAAUGAGUCACCUUCACAAGUAUGCUUUGAAAAAGGAGGAAGAGAAAGAUGUUGCUCUUCUUCUUCCUUGAAUAUGUAUUUCCGACGGAAGCUUGAACACCUUGGAUCAGCUCGCGUGAUUUUUCUCUGUCGGUCGCGUGAUAGCGGUAUCGUUUGUGCCUUCCGCAACUUUAUUCUCAUCUUUAAUUAAUUAUCAGAAAUAACAUGUGUAAGCUUUCGGUCCAUUCACGUUGUUAUUAUACUGCAGUAUUAUUGUCAUUUACAAUUUUUCUUUUGCAAGUAACAGAUAUUGUUAAGUUUGUGAUAGUCAAUGAAUAGAGCAUUUUAAAAAUUUAACAUUAUAUAGAAUUUUGGUUAUCAUUUCUGAGGUUAACAGAUCAAGGUGAAGAAUUUCACAGCCGUUUUUCUCAGACCAGUCACGAUGUUCCACAGGUGUUAAAUGUCCACUCAUCAAUUAUUAUUGGAACAUUUGUACACACCCCUGACAUUAACGACUUUAUGUUAAUUGAGGUCGGUGAUUAUGAUCGUUGAAAUACAUUCGUAGAAAACUGGUUUUCUAGGACCAAUUCGUCGAAUAUGGAUUACUGCUUAAUCUGAGACUUUGGUGUAUACAGAUUUUCAGGAAAUAAGAAUGAUAUUCUUCUUCCUGUUGAUUUGGCCACGAGGACAACGGCACUGAAACUGUUUCCUGGCUUGGGGAUGAACCAAUCAUCAUCUGGAAGUAAUGGAUUGCAAUACAGAAGUGGGAAGUAUUGGAAAUUUGAAAGGAAAGUACAUGAAGAGUUAGUGAAGUAUGCAUAUUCACUGGAAAACAGAAUGGACUUCUUCA
rnacentral:lncRNA from 1 species